rnacentral:rRNA from 1 species
GCCCUUAGAGUUUGAUCCUGGCUCAGAUUGAACGCUAGCGGCAUGCCUUACACAUGCAAGUCGAACGGCAGCGCGGGGGCAACCCUGGCGGCGAGUGGCGAACGGGUGAGUAAUGCAUCGGAACGUGCCCAACGAUGGGGGAUAACUGCGCGAAAGCGUUGCUACUACCGCAUACGACCUACGGGUGAAAGCAGGGGACCGCAAGGCCUUGCGUCGAUGGAGCGGCCGAUGUCGGAUUAGCUAGUUGGUGAGGUAAAGGCUCACCAAGGCGACGAUCCGUAGCUGGUCUGAGAGGACGACCAGCCACACUGGGACUGAGACACGGCCCAGACUCCUGCGGGAGGCAGCAGUGGGGAAUCUUGGACAAUGGGCGCAAGCCUGAUCCAGCAAUGCCGCGUGUGGGAAGAAGGCCUUCGGGUUGUAAACCACUUUUGGCAGGAAAGAAAUCGUCCGUGCUAAUACCAUGGAUGGAUGACGGUACCUGCAGAAUAAGCACCGGCUAACUACGUGCCAGCAGCCGCGGUAAUACGUAGGGUGCGAGCGUUAAUCGGAAUUACUGGGCGUAAAGCGUGCGCAGGCGGUUGGGAAAGAUCGAUGUGAAAUCCCCGGGCUUAACCUGGGAAUGGCAUGGAUGACUAUCCGACUGGAGUACGGUAGAGGGGAGUGGAAUUCCGCGUGUAGCAGUGAAAUGCGUAGAUAUGCGGAGGAACACCGAUGGCGAAGGCAGCUUCCUGGACCUGUACUGACGCUCAUGCACGAAAGCGUGGGGAGCAAACAGGAUUAGAUACCCUGGUAGUCCACGCCCUAAACGAUGUCAACUGGUUGUUGGACGGGCAACUGUUCAGUAACGAAGCUAACGCGUGAAGUUGACCGCCUGGGGAGUACGGCCGCAAGGUUAAAACUCAAAUGAAUUGACGGGGAAGGGC